CAUUAACCUGAACUGAAUCUCCCCACACGAAUCAGGACUGGACUAAGAGAGACAAAGCUAAAGAGUUGCAGCAAAGCAACACCAAGCCAAGAAUUCAUUUUGGAUACAGUAUCUCACAAAAGUGAAGUCGAACUCCGAACCUGUCACGGCCAUUCUUUCCUGCCAAACAAAUUAAUCCUGCACAAAGAAUCAUGGGAACAAAGUGUCCAUCAGUUGUACCCUUCGAGAUCCUUCAUUCUGAAGGGCCCUUUGAAGUGGGCAGUUUUGAGCACUUUGGUUUGGAACGACACUUCAAUAUGGCUGCCAUGAUUGUUCUCACGCCUAAGUUCCUUUCGGAGGUGAAUUUAUCUUGUUUGGAAUGCAAAACAAAAACAAACAUGACCAACCAUAAUGCCACAGUGUGUUUAAAGAGGACAUGUAAACUAUAUAUUGAAUAGGGUUCAGAAUGGACCUAAUGUCUACUGUAGAAAACACUACAUAGAUAGCAUUAAAGGGUGUGGCUGUCAGGCGAUGGCUAAUUGUGACGAAUGAUGCACUUUUGUUUAUUACCGGUUACAUUUCAAAUUUCCACA